rnacentral:rRNA from 1 species
CCCUUAGAUGUUCUGGGUGGCCCGCGCACUACACUGGCACUCUCAAUCAGAGCCUGGAUCUAACACUUUGGGGUAUUCUAUGAAGUGGUGUCGUGACUGGGAUUAACCCUUGCAAUUAUUGGUUACGAACGAGGAAUUCCUUGUAAUCGCGGUUUAUCAGCCCGCGUUGAAUGCGUCCCUGCCCUUUGUACACACCGCCCGUCGCUCCUACCGAUGGAUCGUCCGGUGAAGCUCAUGGAGGGGCGGUUGUCUCAGCUGCCGUCGAAGUGAAAUGGACCUCACGAUCUAGAGGAAGGAGAAGUCGUAACA